UCGUUCCCUCAGUGUUGAAACAAUCUCUGCUGAACCAGGUUACAGGAAGUUCACUGGAGUUGUUUCAACAUUGGAGGAACGAUAAGAU
rnacentral:pre_miRNA from 1 species